GAUGAACGCUGGCGGCGUGCCUAAUACAUGCAAGUCGAGCGAACAGACGAGGAGCUUGCUCCUCUUACGUUAGCGGCGGACGGGUGAGUAACACGUGGAUAACCUACCUAUAAGACUGGGAUAACUUCGGGAAACCGGAGCUAAUACCGGAUAAUAUAUUGAACCGCAUGGUUCAAUAGUGAAAGACGGUUUUGCUGUCACUUAUAGAUGGAUCCGCGCCGCAUUAGCUAGUUGGUAAGGUAACGGCUUACCAAGGCAACGAUGCGUAGCCGACCUGAGAGGGUGAGCGGCCACACUGGAACUGAGACACGGUCCAGACUCCUACGGGAGGCAGCAGUAGGGAAUCUUCCGCAAUGGGCGAAAGCCUGACGGAGCAACGCCGCGUGAGUGAUGAAGGUCUUCGGAUCGUAAAGCUCUGUUAUUAGGGAAGAACAAAUGUGUAAGAAAACAUGCCCGUCUUGACGGUACCUACACAGAAAGCCCCGGCUAACUACGUG
rnacentral:rRNA from 1 species